UACGUAGGGUGCGAGCGUUAAUCGGAAUUACUGGGCGUAAAGCGUGCGCAGGCGGUCUGUUAAGACCGAUGUGAAAUCCCCGGGCUUAACCUGGGAACUGCAUUUGUGACUGCAUGGCUGGAGUGCGGCAGAGGGGAUGGAAUUCCGCGUGUAGCAGUGAAAUGCGUAGAUAUGCGGAGGAACACCGAUGGCGAAGGCAAUCCCCUGGGCCUGCACUGACGCUCAUGCACGAAAGCGUGGGGAGCAAACAACGG
rnacentral:rRNA from 1 species